rnacentral:lncRNA from 1 species
AGUAUUUUUUGUAAAUUCACUGGCAGUUUUGGGGGAGACACAUUUUCUCAACGACACGCGCCGAUGUAAAAUGCUGUUUUUGGAUAUAAAUAUAAACUUGAUAGAACAAAAAUGCAUGUAUUGUCUAACAUAAUGUCCUAGGAGUGUCAUCUGAUGAAGAUUGUCAAAGGUUAGUGCAUCAUUUUAGCUGGUUUUCUGCUUUUGGUGGCGCCUGUCCUUGAAUUGAAAAUGGAUGUGUGUACUUUUUUGGCUAUGUACUCUCCUAACAUAAUCUAACUUUAUGCUUUCGCCGUAAAGCCUCUUUGAAAAUUGGACAAUGUGGUUCGAUUAAGGAGAUGUUUGUCUUUUAAAUGGUGUAAAAUAGUUGAUUGUUUGAGAAAUUGAAAUUAUUAGAUUUUUGAUGUUUUGAAUUUCCCACCUUGCUAGCAAUCCCGUCAGUGGGAUUAGGUUACCCUCGGUCCCCAAGAUUAAACUAUAUUUUAGUUGCACUUCCACCUAGCUCCAUGACCAUGGGUAAAACCUUGCUGAGAUGAUCAAUGUAUUUGUUGCAUUGUUGUAUCGUCAAUUUCUCUAGCCAAAAUGUUGUGAUGGCCUUGACCAGUUAAUCUUUGCUUGUUGGCUUGGCAGAAUUACAGAUUAAUGUUUUCAGUUGAUGCCAAACAAGUUGGAUCUCGUUUAAAUCAGGAGACCUACAUGUAGAGAUGAAAAAAAACAUUUUUAGAUAUACUCGAGGCCUACUGUUGGUCUUUAUAUUUAUUUAACCUUUAUUUUACUACAUAAAUGUCUACUUACUUUGCUGGCGUCUUGACCCAGUUUAUGCCCUCAUUUGCAAUGCAAACCCGUGUGGCAGUGUGCCUAAACAUAACAAAAUAUUGCUAUAAUCCUACCUUGAACGAAACGAUGUGGUCACAGAAUCCCCUCCCUGACAUAGGGUCCAGCAUAUCUCUUGAUGAUUUCUUCCUCAAAUCUCGAGCCAUGAUACCUGAAAACAGAGGCAACAGUGAAUUAUUGUGGAACACAUAGCAGUCUGUGAGGUGUAGGCUACAAUAUUUUAUGUCCCUUUUACUUUGUAAAUAGCCAAACUUAGCAUCAAAAAUCAAAUAUGGUCCUGGUCCCUGGCGAGAAAUUACCCUCCACACAUGGAGUUUGAGCGGAUGCUUGGGACUCGGCUUGCUUGAUCUUCCUUUUUGUCGGUAGCAAUUUUGAGCAAAUUGCUCAAGGGCCACGGUUGAUUCGUCUGUGAAGAUGACGUCAUUGAAUGUCUCGCCAGCUUUGAUCCAUUCCUGGCCCUGCAGGAUGCAAAGUUCUUUGUUUGUCAGACGAAUCAUC